GUGGGGAAUAUUGGACAAUGGGCGAAAGCCUGAUCCAGCCAUGCCGCGUGUGUGAAGAAGGUCUUCGGAUUGUAAAGCACUUUAAGUUGGGAGGAAGGGCAGUAAGUUAAUACCUUGCUGUUUUGACGUUACCAACAGAAUAAGCACCGGCUAACUUCGUGCCAGCAGCCGCGGUAAUACGAAGGGUGCAAGCGUUAAUCGGAAUUACUGGGCGUAAAGCGCGCGUAGGUGGUUCAGCAAGUUGAAGGUGAAAUCCCCGGGCUCAACCUGGGAACUGCCUCCAAAACUACUGAGCUAGAGUACGGUAGAGGGUAGUGGAAUUUCCUGUGUAGCGGUGAAAUGCGUAGAUAUAGGAAGGAACACCAGUGGCGAAGGCGACUACCUGGACUGAUACUGACACUGAGGUGCGAAAGCGUGGGGAGCAAACAGGAUUAGAAACCCCGGUAGUCC
rnacentral:rRNA from 1 species